GCGAAUGUGGUGAAAUUGGUAUACACGCAGCCUUGAGGUGGCUGUGGCGCAAGCCGUGGGAGUUCGAGUCUCCUCGUUCGCA
rnacentral:tRNA from 1 species